CAUGCCUGCACAAUUUCAGAGAAUGCUUGAUUCUUUGUCUUAUUUAAAUUUUUUUAUGAUUAAUAAUUUUAUUGUUAUUAGAUGAUAAAACAUAAAUAAUAUUUUAUGCGUGACUUUUUUUAAUAUUUUCAUAAAAUUUUCAAACAAGACGAAUGGUCAGAUGUUAGACAAAAAAAACUUAAA
rfam:Oryza sativa Japonica Group DNA, chromosome 6, cultivar: Nipponbare, complete sequence.